CCUUAUUGGAGAGUUUGAUCCUGGCUCAGGACGAACGCUGGCGGCGUGCUUAACACAUGCAAGUCGAGCGGUAAGGCCCUUCGGGGUACACGAGCGG
rnacentral:rRNA from 1 species